rnacentral:siRNA from 1 species
CAACUGCGCGCUAACCUAGAA